rnacentral:rRNA from 1 species
UGGGGAAUUUUGGACAAUGGGCGAAAGCCUGAUCCAGCAAUGCCGCGUGUGUGAAGAAGGCCUUCGGGUUGUAAAGCACUUUUGUCCGGAAAGAAAUCCUUGGCUCUAAUACAGUCGAGGGAUGACGGUACCGGAAGAAUAAGCACCGGCUAACUACGUGCCAGCAGCCGCGGUAAUACGUAGGGUGCAAGCGUUAAUCGGAAUUACUGGGCGUAAAGCGUGCGCAGGCGGUUUGCUAAGACCGAUGUGAAAUCCCCGGGCUCAACCUGGGAACUGCAUUGGUGACUGGCAGGCUAGAGUAUGGCAGAGGGGGGUAGAAUUCCACGUGUAGCAGUGAAAUGCGUAGAGAUGUGGAGGAAUACCGAUGGCGAAGGCAGCCCCCUGGGCCAAUACUGACGCUCAUGCACGAAAGCGUGGGGAGCAAACAGGAUUAGAUACCCUGGUAGUCCACGCCCUAAACGAUGUCAACUAGUUGUUGGGGAUUCAUUUCCUUAGUAACGUAGCUAACGCGUGAAGUUGACCGCCUGGGGAGUACGGUCGCAAGAUUAAAACUCAAAUGAAUUGACGGGGUCAUAGCUG